rnacentral:rRNA from 1 species
UACGUAGGGGGCAAGCGUUGUCCGGAUUUAUUGGGCGUAAAGAGCGUGUAGGCGGCUUUGCAAGUCCGUUGUGAAAACUCGAGGCUCAACCUCGAGACGCCGGUGGAAACUGCAAAGCUAGAGUCCGGAAGAGGAGUGUGGAAUUCCUGGUGUAGCGGUGAAAUGCGCAGAUAUCAGGAAGAACACCCGUGGCGAAGGCGGCUCACUGGCCCGAUACUGACGCUGAGGCACGAAAGCGUGGGGAGCAAACAGG